UGGGGAAUGGUGUAAUGGUAACACAGCGGUUUUUGGUACCGUCGUUCUAGGUUCGAGUCCUAGUUCCCCAGCCA
rnacentral:tRNA from 19 species